AAUCCUGGUCGGACAUCAGGAGGUUAGUGCAAUGGCAUAAGCCAGCUUGACUGCGAGCGUGACGGCGCGAGCAGGUGCGAAAGCAGGUCAUAGUGAUCCGGUGGUUCUGAAUGGAAGGGCCAUCGCUCAACGGAUAAAAGGUACUCCGGGGAUAACAGGCUGAUACCGCCCAAGAGUUCAUAUCGACGGCGGUGUUUGGCACCUCGAUGUCGGCUCAUCACAUCCUGGGGCUGAAGUAGGUCCCAAGGGUAUGGCUGUUCGCCAUUUAAAGUGGUACGCGAGCUGGGUUUAGAACGUCGUGAGACAGUUCGGUCCCUAUCUGCCGUGGGCGCUGGAGAACUGAGGGGGGCUGCUCCUAGUACGAGAGGACCGGAGUGGACGCAUCACUGGUGUUCGGGUUGUCAUGCCAAUGGCACUGCCCGGUAGCUAAAUGCGGAAGAGAUAAGUGCUGAAAGCAUCUAAGCACGAAACUUGCCCCGAGAUGAGUUCUCCCUGAGACCUAGAGUCUCCUGAAGGAACGUUGAAGACGACGACGUUGAUAGGCCGGGUGUGUAAGCGCAGCGAUGCGUUGAGCUAACCGGUACUAAUGAACCGUGAGGCUUAACCUU
rnacentral:rRNA from 1 species